AACGAACGCUGGCGGCAUGCCUAACACAUGCAAGUCGAACGAGACCUUCGGGUCUAGUGGCGCACGGGUGCGUAACGCGUGGGAACCUGCCCUUAGGUUCGGAAUAACUCCCCGAAAGGGGUGCUAAUACCGGAUAAUGUCUUCGGACCAAAGAUUUAUCGCCUUUGGAUGGGCCCGCGUUGGAUUAGCUAGUUGGUAGGGUAAAAGCCUACCAAGGCGACGAUCCAUAGCUGGUCUGAGAGGAUGAUCAGCCACACUGGGACUGAGACACGGCCCAGACUCCUACGGGAAGCAGCAGUUGGGAAUAUUGGACAAUGGGCGAAAGCCUGAUCCAGCAAUGCCGCGUGAGUGAUGAAGGCCUUAGGGUUGUAAAGCUCUUUUACCCGGGAUGAUAAUGACAGUACCGGGAGAAUAAGCUCCGGCUAACUCCGUG
rnacentral:rRNA from 1 species